UAUUAGCUUAUUAUGAAAUAAAAAAUAUACUUUCUGGUUGGACAAAAUAAUAUUAGAUUUUCAUAUUAUUACCUAAAUAAAUAAAUAAAUAAAUAAAUCGUUGCUGCUAAAACAUUUCAUUAUUUUUAUCAAUUGAAAACAAUAUUGUGUCAGUAGGAAUAUUAAAAAUUAAUUUCAUUGUGAUUAUUAAAGUGGUGAAAAAUGAAUUCUUAUUCAAGUUCUGCGACUAGUCGUAAAGAAACUAUACGAUUUGACGAUAGCGUACUUAAAAAAAACGCUCGAAUAAUGAAAUCUUUCCGAAAUUGUUCCAAUGAUUGCUGGAGUAGACGUACCAAGACGAAAUCCGAAGGUUGUCGUUCAAAAAGUAGUGCUCAGAGAAGCGAUGGUUCUUCCGAAUGCAGCUCCAGAGGCGACGGCGACGACAGAGAGACGUGCUACGUCAGUCUAUUCCAAGUGUGCAUGAGCUAUGUGUUUCCCAGAGCGUUUCCCUUGCCGUCCACCGAGUAUCGAUUCAGGGUCAAGAGCGACCGUUUGCUUUCGGACCCUACAAAUAAGAUCAUCGGAAAAAUAUUGACGCCGGUGGACAAGUGCUCGAAAAUACCAAAAGGAGUCUUUCUCCUAACCCCCUCGGAGGACGGAGUGAUUAAAAUAUAUUGUCCCGGUGCCAAAAUUCGAAGAAAGCGUUCGAAGUGUCGAAAUAAUAAAUAAAUAUUAUGAUAAAUAGUAUUACAAAAUAUAGAUGUGCGAUUUACUGUA